rnacentral:rRNA from 1 species
AUUGAACGCUGGCGGCAGGCUUAACACAUGCAAGUCGAGCGGGGGAAGGUAGCUUGCUACUGGACCUAGCGGCGGACGGGUGAGUAAUGCUUAGGAAUCUGCCUAUUAGUGGGGGACAACAUCUCGAAAGGGAUGCUAAUACCGCAUACGUCCUACGGGAGAAAGCAGGGGAUCACUUGUGACCUUGCGCUAAUAGAUGAGCCUAAGUCGGAUUAGCUAGUUGGUGGGGUAAAGGCCUACCAAGGCGACGAUCUGUAGCGGGUCUGAGAGGAUGAUCCGCCACACUGGGACUGAGACACGGCCCAGACUCCUACGGGAGGCAGCAGUGGGGAAUAUUGGACAAUGGGGGGAACCCUGAUCCAGCCAUGCCGCGUCUGUGAAGAAGGCCUUAUGGUUGUAAAGCACUUUAAGCGAGGAGGAGGCUUACCUAGUUAAUACCUGGGAUAAGUGGACGUUACUCGCAGAAUAAGCACCGGCUAACUCUGUGCCAGCCGCCGCAGUAA